rnacentral:rRNA from 1 species
AAUAGAUACCCAGGUAGUCCACGCCGUAAACGAUGGAUACUAGCUGUUCGGCGUAAGCUGAGUGGCUAAGCGAAAGUGAUAAGUAUCCCACCUGGGGAGUACGAACGCAAGUUUGAAACUCAAAGGAAUUGACGGGGGCCCGCACAAGCGGUGGAGCAUGUGGUUUAAUUCGAUGAUACGCGAGGAACCUUACCAGGGCUUAAAUGUAGAUUGACAGGUUUAGAGAUAGACUUUUCUUCGGACAAUUUACAAGGUGCUGCAUGGUUGUCGUCAGCUCGUGCCGUGAGGUGUCAGGUUAAGUCCUAUAACGAGCGCAACCCCUGUUGUUAGUUGCCAGCGAGUCAAGUCGGGAACUCUAACAAGACUGCCAGUGCAAACUGUGAGGAAGGUGGGGAUGACGUCAAAUCAUCACGGCCCUUACGUCCUGGGCUACACACGUGCUACAAUGGUAGGGACAGAGAGCAGCCACUUCGCGAGAAGGAGCGAAUCUAUAAAACCCUAUCACAGUUCGGAUCGGAGUCUGCAACUCG